rnacentral:rRNA from 1 species
UUCCAGACUCCUACGGGAGGCAGCAGUGGGGAAUAUUGCACAAUGGGGGAAACCCUGAUGCAGCGACGCCGCGUGAGUGAAGAAGUAUUUCGGUAUGUAAAGCUCUCUCAGCAGGGAAGAAAAAAGACGGUACCUGACUAAGAAGCCCCGGCUAACUACGUGCCAGCAGCCGCGGUAAUACGUAGGGGGCAAGCGUUAUCCGGAAUUACUGGGUGUAAAGGGUGCGUAGGUGGCAUGGUAAGUCAGAAGUGAAAGCCCGGGGCUUAACCCCGGGACUGCUUUUGAAACUGUCAUGCUGGAGUGCAGGAGAGGUAAGCGGAAUUCCUAGUGUAGCGGUGAAAUGCGUAGAUAUUAGGAGGAACACCAGUGGCGAAGGCGGCUUACUGGACUGUCACUGACACUGAUGCACGAAAGCGUGGGGAGCAAACAGGAUUAGAUACCCCAGUAGGC